rnacentral:misc_RNA from 1 species
CCUCCUUCGCAGGAGGUGAAUCUUGGAAGCGGAGCACUCGUUCAUACGCAACGCAUGCAGAUGCGAAGCAAGUAGCGAGCGGCUUGCACCCGGGAGUCAUUGCCUCGCUAUUUUCAGAGAAUAAAACGCCGCAGAUGCAGAGCUGAAAGCCGCUGAGCAGGUAAGACUGGGGGCACAGAGUGAACGUGGCUUGUCGAAUCUUUUUGUACCGUCAAGCAGAGCCUGCGUUACAGAACCGCACUGCUGAAAUGUUUUCCAGCCAUGAGAUGGCACCGCGAUAAUUUGAUGAAGGCGGUCACCUUCGGUCGGUGAGCAGCCGCACCGGGCUUCAAGGCCCACGCCGCCCCCCCCCCCGAUGAUGAACAGCGACGCAAAACCGAACACGUGGCGUCACUCCAGCCGCCCUUCAAGGGGAUUCCCCCAGAGGUGCCCUGUGGCAUUGAAAAACACGUGUACUGCGCACGCGUCGUCGACAGAGGUUCGCGAACGCACGCCGAGUGCAGUUAUCGAUUUUCCAUCCUGGAGUGGAUCUAGUGAGCGGCUUUCGGCAAAGGCUUUGGGUACUCGCAACCGGUCGCAUGAGGCUGCGGGUGGGGGUUAGCGGAAGGAGUUGCGGCCCGUGGCUGCUGAGACUGGUUUCGCCGACACAUUUCCGGUGAGUGUUUGCUCGUUUUCCACACCCUUCCCCCUUUUUUUUUUCGAGCUGGGUACCGCGUGUACCUGCCGUUGCGCCCAUCUCUUCUUGUUUAACUCGUUGGAGCUGAUGGGGAGGAUGUAACUGGAGGUGGAUCGGCGUGGCGCAGCACCGUUUGUCCAUAGGGCCUAGGGGGUUUCGGCGGAUUAGAAAUGCGUGUCGGCGCAGCACCCCCUAAUCGAGGUACAGUUAUCCUUUAUGACGCAUCGUCGUGUAAAGGAACGAUGUUGAGCCCUGCAUGAUAUGACGUGGUUGAACAAAUGUAGACCUUAGCGUGUCGAUGCACUUUUGUACAAGAAUGCAUGUUAGCGUGAUUGAAUUUUUUUUCACGCUUGCUGCUGUGUCUGCGCAUCUGUACGGAAUGGAGUGAUAAAA